rnacentral:lncRNA from 1 species
CUGGCCCUGACCGAGACCUGGGCGGGUUCCCACUCCAUAAGGUAUUUCAGCACCGCCGUGUCCCGGCCGGGUCGCGGGGAGCCCCGGUACAUCGCAGUGGGCUACGUGGACGACACGCAGUUCGUGCGCUUCGACAGCGACGCGGCGACUCCGAGGAUGUAGCCGCAGGCGCCGUGGUUGGAGCAGGAGGGACCGGAGUAUUGGGACCGGAGCACACGGAACAUCAAGGCCCGCGCACAGACUGACAAGAGUGAACCUGCCCAUCCCGCGCCUUUACUACCACCAGAGCUAGGCCGGUGAAUGACCCCGGCCUGGGGCGAAGGUCACGACCCCUCCUCAUACCCCGCGGACGCCCCGGGUCCCCCCCGCGAGUCUCCGGCUCCGAGAUCCACCCCGAGGCUGCGGGACCCGCCAGAUCCUCGACCCAGGAGAGGCCCAGGCGCCUUUACCAGGUUUCAUUUUCAGUUUAGGCCAAAAUCCC